UGCAGUCGAGGGAGAAGCAGACGUUCCGUAAGGUUCGACUAUGGAAACCGGCGAACGGGUGCGUAACACGUGAGAAACCUGCCCCCCAGAUCGGGAUAGCCCAGGGAAACUUGGAUUAAUACCGGAUACUCUCUUUGGAUCGCAUGAUCCGUUGAGGAAACAGUCCGCUGCUGGGGGAUGGUCUCGCGGCCUAUCAGGUAGUUGGUGAGGUAACGGCUCACCAAGCCUAAGACGGGUAGCUGGUCUGAGAGGACGAUCAGCCACACUGGAACUGAGACACGGUCCAGACUCCUACGGGAGGCAGCAGCAGGGAAUAUUGCACAAUGGGCGAAAGCCUGAUGCAGCGACACCGCGUGCGGGAUGACGGCCUUAGGGUUGUAAACCGCUUUCAGGAGGGAAGAAAAUGACGGUACCUCCAGAAGAAGCUCCGGCCAACUACGUGCCAGCAGCCGCGGUAAUACGUAGGGAGCAAACGUUGUCCGGAUUUAUUGGGCGUAAAGGGCUCGUAGGCGGUUCAACAAGUUGGUCGUGAAAACCCGGGGCUCAACCCCGGGAGGCCGAUCAAAACUGUUGUGACUAGAGUUCGGUAGAGGUGAGUGGAAUUCUCGGUGUAGCGGUGGAAUGCGCAGAUAUCGAGAGGAACACCAUUAGCGAAGGCGGCUCACUGGGCCGAUACUGACGCUGAGGAGCGAAAGCGUGGGGAGCAAACAGGAUUAGAUACCCUGGUAGUCCACGCCGUAAACGAUGAACACUAGGUGUAGCGGACUGAUUCAUGUCUGCUGCGCCGUAGCUAACGCAUUAAGUGUUCCGCCUGGGGAGUACGGCCGCAAGGCUAAAACUCAAAGGAAUUGACGGGGCCCCGCACAAGCGGCGGA
rnacentral:rRNA from 1 species